AGAGUUUGAUCCUGGCUCAGGAUGAACGCUAGCGACAGGCUUAACACAUGCAAGUCGAGGGGCAGCAUGAUUUGUAGCAAUACAGAUUGAUGGCGACCGGCGCACGGGUGAGUAACGCGUAUGCAACUUACCUAUCAGAGGGGGAUAGCCCGGCGAAAGUCGGAUUAAUACCCCAUAAAACAGGGGUCCCGCAUGGGAAUAUUUGUUAAAGAUUCAUCGCUGAUAGAUAGGCAUGCGUUCCAUUAGGCAGUUGGCGGGGUAACGGCCCACCAAACCGACGAUGGAUAGGGGUUCUGAGAGGAAGGUCCCCCACAUUGGUACUGAGACACGGACCAAACUCCUACGGGAGGCAGCAGUGAGGAAUAUUGGUCAAUGGACGCAAGUCUGAACCAGCCAUGCCGCGUGCAGGAUGACGGCUCUAUGAGUUGUAAACUGCUUUUGUACGAGGGUAAACGCAGAUACGUGUAUCUGUCUGAAAGUAUCGUACGAAUAAGGAUCGGCUAACUCCGUGCCAGCAGCCGCGGUAAUACGGAGGAUUCAAGCGUUAUCCGGAUUUAUUGGGUUUAAAGGGUGCGUAGGCGGUUUGAUAAGUUAGAGGUGAAAUUUCGGGGCUCAACCCUGAACGUGCCUCUAAUACUGUUGAGCUAGAGAGUAGUUGCGGUAGGCGGAAUGUAUGGUGUAGCGGUGAAAUGCUUAGAGAUCAUACAGAACACCGAUUGCGAAGGCAGCUUACCAAACUAUAUCUGACGUUGAGGCACGAAAGCGUGGGGAGCAAACAGGAUUAGAUACCCUGGUAGUCCACGCAGUAAACGAUGAUAACUCGUUGUCGGCGAUACACAGUCGGUGACUAAGCGAAAGCGAUAAGUUAUCCACCUGGGGAGUACGUUCGCAAGAAUGAAACUCAAAGGAAUUGACGGGGGCCCGCACAAGCGGAGGAACAUGUG
rnacentral:rRNA from 1 species